GACAAACGCUGGCGGCGUGCCUUACGCAUGCAAGUCGAGCGACGUCCUUCCCUUCGGGGAAGGAACGGAGCGGCGGACGGGUGAGUAACACGUAAGUGAUCUGCCCAAAAGCGGGGGAUAACCCACCGAAAGGUGAGCUAAUACCGCAUGUGUCCGGUGGUUCGAUUCACCGGGUAAACCUUUAGGGCUUUUGGAGGAGCUUGCGGCCGAUUAGCUAGUUGGUGAGGUAAAGGCUCACCAAGGCUGUUAUCGGAGCUGGUCUGAGAGGACGAUCAGCCACACGGGGACUGAGACACGGCCCCGACUCCUACGGGAGGCAGCAGCGAGGAAUCUUGCACAAUGGGCGAAAGCCUGAUGCAGCGACGCCGCGUGGGGAUGAAGGCUCUAGGGUCGUAAACCCCUUUUGCCAGGGAAGAAGAUCUGACGGUACCUGGCGAAUAAGCCACGGCUAACUACGUGCCAGCA
rnacentral:rRNA from 1 species